rnacentral:rRNA from 1 species
AUUGAACGCUGGCGGCAGGCCUAACACAUGCAAGUCGAGCGGAUGACGGGAGCUUGCUCCUUGAUUCAGCGGCGGACGGGUGAGUAAUGCCUAGGAAUCUGCCUGGUAGUGGGGGACAACGUUUCGAAAGGAACGCUAAUACCGCAUACGUCCUACGGGAGAAAGCAGGGGACCUUCGGGCCUUGCGCUAUCAGAUGAGCCUAGGUCGGAUUAGCUAGUUGGUGGGUAAUGGCUCACCAAGGCGACGAUCCGUAACUGGUCUGAGAGGAUGAUCAGUCACACUGGAACUGAGACACGGUCCAGACUCCUACGGGAGGCAGCAGUGGGGAAUAUUGGACAAUGGGCGAAAGCCUGAUCCAGCCAUGCCGCGUGUGUGAAGAAGGUCUUCGGAUUGUAAAGCACUUUAAGUUGGGAGGAAGGGCAGUAAGCUAAUACCUUGCUGUUUUGACGUUACCGACAGAAUAAGCACCGGCUAACUCUGUGCCAGCCGCCGCCGUAAGAC